UGUAUCAAUUCUUUGUCAGGCAGCGAGAUGAUUGGGUGAAAAGUAUCCGAAGCUCCUCACUUAAAAAAAAAAUAAACUGGAGGUCACGUCCGAUCAAAAGUUACAAGAGUUGUUUAAAGAAGUUUUCAUUUUCCAAAUUAGUUCUUAAACUUGUGACAAGUUUCCUAGAUACAUGCUGCAGAACAAAUACCUUUCUAGAUGGUCUGGAGGGUAGAUGGAGUAGGUAUUAAUCGCAGACAAGUUACAAAUCCUGAGAGUGUUUGAGUUGUUGGAGCACAUAUGGACUUUCAUUCCUAGUGUUGGAAAAUGGAUCUUUACACCGUAAUAUGGCUUCAGCUCUUAUGAAAAAUCCUGGUGGUUCAAACGAACAUCCAUCCUUCAUUCUCCAGAUGUAAGAAGGAACUUAUACUUCUGCUUAUGCACAUCAGAACAACAGAGAAGGGCAUAGACUCUAGGCUUCACACUUUUCAGGGAGGACUUCUGUGAAUCCGGUGGAACUCUUGGUCAUCCUCAUGAAGCACUAAACUUGGGAAAGGAAGAAGGAAGAGGCUGGAGACAGGAACUUCUCUGUUCUCUCUCAAUCAGUAUAGAUUUGCACUCAGUGGAUCUGCAGUUCAGGAUAUGCGGCUAAAGAAUGACUUCUGUAAUCAAGUGGUUGAAGGCCUGGGAAAAUCUUGUCACUUGGAGAGCAGUCGGCACAGAGGCUAGGAAGAGAAGAGGCCAAGAGCAAGGAUUUAUCAGUAUCCAAGCAGCACUUUAAAG
rnacentral:lncRNA from 1 species